rnacentral:rRNA from 1 species
AUUCCGAUAACGAACGAGACUCUAACCUGCUAAAUAGUACGGUUGCAAUUGUUAUGUGGACCUCUGUUCAGGUACCUCUGGUGCUUGGAUAGAACCACAUAAGCAGGUGAAACUUCUUAGAGGAACUGGCGCUCAAAAAGGCGCACGAGAAAGAGCAAUAACAGGUCUGUGAUGCCCUAAGAUGUCCGGGGCCGCCCGCGUGCUACAAUGACGAUUGUACUGAGCAUGAUUAACUUGUCCGAAAGGAUCGGUGAAACUGUUCAAUCAUCGUCGUGACUGGGAUUGGGGUUUGCAAUUGUCCCCCAUGAACCAGGAAUUCCUAGUAAGCACAAGUCAUAAGCUUGUGCUGACUACGUCCCUGCCCUUUGUACACACCGCCCGUCGCUACUACCGAUUGAAUGGUUUAGCAAGGACAUUGGAUCGAGCCCUUGCGGUUCACGCUGCUUGGGUUUGAGAAGAUGUCCGAACUUGAUCAUUUAGAGGAAGUAAAAGUCGUAACAAGGUUUCCGUAGGUGAACCUGCGGAAGGAUCAUUA